UCAUAUGCUACUUUACUUGGUAUUUAGCUCUAAAGAAAUUGAGUGCGAUUUCUUCAUACAGAGAACAAGACAAAUAUUAGAUAGUUAUGUUUGCCAGGACUAUUAAUUUUGAUAAUUAUACAGUGAGCGAACACAUAUUAUAGCUUGUUUACUUACAAGUAGCAUAGAAUGUUAUUACUUUGCAUGCACAUAUACAAGAGUUAGUUUUUU
rnacentral:lncRNA from 1 species